rnacentral:tRNA from 1 species
UACGCAGCUCGUCGACCCGGCCGACGAACGCCGCUGGGUUCGGCGGCAACUGCCGGGGCGGUUCGGCCGGGCCGGUUCGGUCGUCGGGCCGCCUGGC